rnacentral:lncRNA from 1 species
GAGGCGCUUCCGAAACGUUUCCGUAACGUUUUCCGUGAGGAAUUUCGCGAAGGUUUUCGACCGUUCUUCGACGUUCUUCAUUCAUUCUUCAUCGUUCUUCGAUCUUCAACGGGUAAGUACCUCGAACCAAGCUUUUCGAUUCAUUCUAUGUACCCGUAGUGGUCCACAUUGUGUUUCGUGCAUUUUUAUUGUCGUUUUGUUUACUUUUUAUACCCCCUGUUGACGUGCUUAAGCCAUUUUACUU